AAAGAUUAAAUAAUUCAUCAAACUAGUCCAUAGACUAUCAUUCUCUCCCCCAUAGUUUAAGGACUAAAUUGGACAGAUAAUUGGAGAGAAUGAUAGUUUAGGGACUAAAUUGAUGGUUUAUUCAUCAAU
rnacentral:pre_miRNA from 1 species